rnacentral:pre_miRNA from 11 species
AAAGCGAUUACAGUACUGCUUCUUCCACGUUGAGGUAGUUGGUUGUAUAGUAGUGACUGAUUAAAUAUCUGCUAUGCAAUCUGCUAGCUUGUCGUGUGAGUAUGCAACCCAACAGGCAAAUCG